ensembl:misc_RNA Y_RNA Y RNA
GGCUGGUCCGAAAGUAGUGGGUUAUCUCACUUGAUUGUUCACAGUCAAUUACAGAUUGAACUCCUUGUUCUACUAUUUUCCCCACUUCUCAUUACUGUACUUGACUAGUCUUAA